GCGAUUUACCUCAACUUGGCCGUUUUUGGCUGGUUUUAGCCGAUUUCAACCUUCUUUAUACAUAUUCUUGCGAACAAAACACAUUAGAGGGUCUCGAUUGCCCCAAAAAACCAGAAAAUGGAAACCUAUCAAUGGUGAUUUUUUCGAUGCGGUGGCUCCACCAGCUCACCUUCGUGGCUGAGAGUUUUUCUCCGGUUAACCUAUAGAAAACAAAACGGUGAACACAAUGGUAAAAAAAUCACACGAAAUAGGAAACGAUAAGGGGCUCAUCGAAGGCGGUUACGAGUUUUGCCUGCG
rnacentral:lncRNA from 1 species